GUCCGCGGGCGCAAUAUCUCUGCGAAUGAGGGUUAGCUGCUUGCCGAAGGUACAGUACACGGGAUAAAAAGGAAAGCUGCAAAAAAACGGGAGGGAAAUACUUUCGGUAUUGACUGAGAGGCUUUAUUAGCCGUUGAUGCAUGUCAGAAAACAAAUUUUAACAUGCCGGUCCCGUGUUUUGCAGCAAACGGAAAAACUGCUACGGACCUGAGGCUGCGAUAGGCAGAGGAUAUUUAUUGAGAAUAAUUUGCAGACCAGGAUCCCAAUGCAAGUUCUCCAUUAAGCGGAGUGAUCAGGAUCUGAGUAUCAUUGACACUUAACAGUGAAAGGAAAGAGGUUUAACCAUUCUAUGCGUGGGAGAAUACUCCUGGACCUUUCGUGAUCUAAUCCCGUAACAGUGUGAGCUGCUACAAUGCACAUGCUAGUAAAAGCAUAAGAGGACAGAUGAGAUGAGUGCAUGGCUGGAGCUAUAACUUAAAAAGAUUUGGAUUCCUGAGGCAUUGAGACUGUUUGUUUGUUUCUGGGGAAGGUGGGACAUGCACAAGCUUGAACAAUUGUCCUGGGCAGAGCUGGGACAGAUAUUCUUGUUGAUGCUUUUGCUAGUUCCACUGGUGAGGAUUUAAACUCGUAUGACAGGGGAAUGGGAACCAAAGUAUACCUUUAGCAGUAAAAGACUCAAAUCAGCAAAUGGGACGUGAAAUUAGUUCAUGAUGUUGUCGGUGGCUGAAAGAUUAAAAGAAAGAAGGAUUAAUCAAGAUCAAAUCUCUUUUCAUACAUCAGUCCUGUGAUCCCAGGAAUUGGUCUGGUGAACCUUCUUUGCGAUCAUUCAGUAGCCAGACCAUCCUUCCUUUGGAAAGGAGAACAAAGGUGCACACUACUGCAGGUGUGGUCUCACCAAGGCCCUUAUAGAAAGACAUCCCUCCUCCUGUACUCGAAUCCUGUCACAAUGAAGGCCGAAAUAUCAUUUGCAUUCUUCACUACUUGCUGCUGCCUGUUUCCUAAAAGAGAAUAGGAGAGAAACACGGAACUAAAUGGGGUCAGACAGUCGGGUACAAUUGUUGAACACACUGUCCCCAUUGUAUCGGUGCUGGCCAUCAAGCACCUAUUUAAGCUAGGCCCGUUUUCUGGCACUCGGUGUGUAACCUAUAUUAUGGUGCAGUGGAUGAUCAUCUCAACACUUCUUCAAGAUUGCAAUGGUUCCUGCAUCUAUUAACAUUUCAGAUGCUGCCAGAUCUACUGUGUAUCUCCAUCUUUUUCUGUUUUUAUUCCAGAUUUCGGGUAUUUUGCUGUGUAUUCUUAGUCCUUCAGAAGCAUCAGAGGGUAUGGGGAGAAAACAGGAAUUGGAUUCAUUUUCAGAUGUAUAAAAUGCCUGCCCUUCAUGUCUGUCCAAACUCUAUCUCUUUUUGUAGUUUUGGGCAAACGCUGACUGUUUCCUUUCCCUGAAGGACAUUAAAUGAACCAGUUCAGUUUUACUGAUAAUCCAGCAGUGCCCCUCAGUGUUGCAUCCACAAUUGACCAGAUUAAUUUCUGAGUUUCACAAUCUUUGUGUGUGUUCUUCUGGUUUCUCUCUCUCUCUCUCUCUCUCUCUCUCUCUCUCUCUCUCUACGUUUCUUUUUUUUCUUCAGUUUGAAAUUUUGAUUGCAUUCAGAGAAAUCAAACAAAACCACAUCCAGAUCUGACACUCAAUCUGUUUGUCAUAACCUAAUUAUCUCAGGAUUUUGAACAUUAAAGGAAGAAGCACUGUUCACACCAGGGAGAAAUGCGUAUUGUCUGUGUGUCGAAGAGUCUUUGAAGAUUCAUCUGAAAUGCCCAAACACCAGCGCAGUCACACUUGGGAGAGACUGUGGAAAUGUGGGGAUUGUGGGAAGGGAUUUAUUUACCCAUCCCAGCUGGAAAUGCACCAACGCAGUCACACUGGGGAGAAACCGUUCAUUUGCUCUGAUUGUGGGCUGGGAUUCACUCAGUCAAGCAACCUGCUGAAACACCGAGUUCACAGUGGGGAGAGACUGUUCACAUGUUCCGAGUAUGGGAAGGGAUUUGCUCGCUCACUCAACCAACCUGCUGAGACACCAGCGAGUUCACUCUGGGGACAGACCAUUCACUUGUUCUAUGUGUGGAAAGGGAUUCACUCAAUCAUCCCAACUGUUAACACACCAGCAAGUUCACCACAACCACAUUUGAAGGAUUUUGCCCUUAAAUCAAGGAAUGAACUUUGAUCUUUGGGCUGUUUGUACUGGUGUCAUUAGUCCCUGCUCAAAACUUGAUCUUCUCUUGGGAAAUAAGGUAGGGCAGGUGACUGAGGGGUCAGCAGGGGCGAGAAUAUUUUGGGGCCUAUGAUUGUAUCUCUAUUAGUUUUAAAAUAAUUAUGGAAAAGGAUAGACUUUGGUCUAAGAGUCAAAGUUUUAAAUGAGACUAAGGCCAAUUUUGACACUACUAUGCUCCUUAAAAGCACAGUAAGACCGCCUAUGUGUGGGAAUGCACGAGUUGGGUGAGAUACAAAAAAGUAUUUUACAUCAGUAUUUACUGUGAUCAAGGAUACAAAAGCUAAAGAACUUAGAGAAAUGAAUGUGUAUCUUGAAAAGUUCCAUGUUGUGGAGGAGGUGGUGCUGGAUGCCUUACAGACCAUAAAGGUGGAUAAAUCCCCAGGACCUCUUCAGGUGUAUUCUCGAACUUUGCGGGAAGCUAGGCUUGCAAUUGGGCCCCUUGCUCAGAUAUUUGCACCAUUGACAGUCAUAGGUGAGCUGUUACACUGGAGGUUGGCUAAUCUGGUGCCAUUGUUUAAGAAAGGUGGUAACAGAAAACCAGGGAACAAUAAACUUUUGGUGAGCCUGACGUCAGCUGUGGGUAAGUUGUUGGAGGGAAUUCUGAGGGAUAGGAUUUACAUAUAUUUGGAAAGCGUGGACUGAAUGGGGAAUAGUCGACAUGGCUUUGUCCAUAGGAAAUUAUGUCUUACUAACUUGAUUGAGUUUUUUUGAAGAAGUUAGAAACAAGAUUGAUGGCAGAGCGGUGGAUGUUUUCGAUAUUCCGCAUGGUCGACUGAUUAACAAGGUUAGAUCACAUGGAAUCCAGGGAGAGCUGGCCAUUUGGAAAGGCGUUUGACCUGCAGUAUGCUGCAAGGAUUGGUACUUAGUAGCUAUAACUCGUACAUUCACAUCCAAAUCAUCUUUAUAAAUGACAAAAUGGAGUGGACCCAGCUCUGAUCCUUGCAGCACACCACUGGUCACAGGCCUCCAGUCUACAAAGCAACCCUCCACCAGCACUCCGUCUUCUACCUUCAAGUCAGAUCUGUUUCCAAAUGACUGGUUCUCUCUGUAUUCCAUGUGAUCUGACCUUGCUCAUCAGUCUACCAUGAGGAACCUUGUCAAACGCCUUAGUGACAUCCAUAUAGAAUACAUCCACCUCUUUGCACUAUUCAAUCCUCUUUGUUCCUCCAUCAAAAAAAAAUCAAGUCAGUGAGACAUGAUUUCCUACACACACAGCCAUGUUGAUUAUCCCUAAUCAGUCCCUCCCUUUCCAAAUAUUUCAAGUACUAUCCCUCAGGAUUCCUAGAACGACUUUCCCACCACUAAUAUCAGGCUCACUGGCCUAUAGUUCCCUGGCUUUUCCUUACCACCUUUCUUAAAUAGUGGCACCACAUUAGCCAACUUCUGGUCCCUCACCUGUGGAUAUCGAUGACACAAAUAUCUCAGCAAGGGGCCCAGCAAUCACUUGCCUAGCUUCCCUCCGAGUUCUCGGAUACGCCUGAUCAGGUCCCAGGAAUUUAUCCGCUUUUAUGCGUUUAAAGCAUCACUACCUCUGUAAUAUGGAUAAUUUUCACGAUGUUGCUAUUUAUUUCCCCACAGUCUAUAUCUUCCAUAUCCUUUUCUGUAGUAAAUACUGAUGCAUAAUACUUGUUUUAUUAUAUUCCCCAUUUCUUGCAAUUCCACACAUAGGAGGCAUUGCUGCUUUUUAAGGGGCCCUAUCUCCCCAUAGUUAUCCUUUUUGUUCUUAAUCUAUUUGUAGAAUCCCACUGGAUUUUCCUUAAUACUAUUUGCCUAAGUUACCUCAUGUUCCCUUUUUGCCCUACUAAUUUCCCUCUUAAGUAUACUAUUGUCAUUAUACUCUUGUAAGCAUUCACUCAAUCUCUGCUGUCUAUACCUGACUUGUCCUUCCUCCUUUUUCUUGACCAAAACCUUGAUUUCUCUAGUCAUCCAGAAUUCCCUAUACCUACCAGCAUUGUCCUUCACCCGAACAGGAGUAUACUGUCCCUGAACUCUCGUUAUCUCUUUUUUUUGAAGGCUUCCCACUUUCUAACCUUUCUUUUUUACCUGCAAACAUCUGCCCCAAUCAACUUUUGAAAGCUCUUGUGUAAUACCAUUAAAAUUGGCCUUCCCCCAAUAUAGAGCUUUAACUUUCAGAUCCGGUCUACUCUUUUCCAUCACUAUUUUAAAACUAAUAGAAUUAUGGUCACUGGCCCCAAAGUCCUCCCCUGCUGAUACCCUAGUCACCUGUCCUGCUUUAUUUGCCAAGAGCAGGUCAAGUUUUGCACCUUCUGUAGUCGGUACAUCACAUACUGAAUCAGAACAUUUUCCUGUACACUCUCAGCAAACUCCGCUCCAUCCAAGCCUUUUAGACCAUGGAAUUCCCAGUCUGUUUGGAAAGUUAAAAUCCCUUCCAUCACCACCCUGUUAUUCUUACAGAUAACUUCUUUCAAAAUUAUUUGUCAGAUUCCUGCUGACUAUUGGGGGUGGCUAUAGUAUAAUCCCAAUAAGGUGAUCAUCCCUUUCUUAUUUCUCAGUUUCACCCAAAUAACUUCCCUGGAUGUAUUCUCAGAUAUAUCCUGCCUAAGUAACGCCAUAAUGUUAUCCUUGCUCAAAAAUGCCACUUUUCCCUCCUCUCUUGCUUUGCUUCCCCCUCCCCCUUCGACUUUCUAUCCUUUCUAUAGGAACUAUAUCUUAGAACAUUAAGCUGGCAGCCCUGUCCAUCUUUGAGCCUUGCCUCUGUAAUUGCAAUGAUAACCCAGUUUCAUGUUUCCAAUCUUGCCCUGAGUUCCUCUGCCUUAGCUGUUAGGCCUCUGGCAUUGAAAUAAAUGGCGUUUAAUUUAUUAAUCCUUUCGCAUUAAUCUCAAUAACAAAUACGUAACUGUAGAGUAGGUUUUGAAAAUGAUAACGUUUUAUUGCUGUAUAUCAACACAUUCACACUGGGUAAAGACAAUCCACCCACACAGUGUGUGAAAAGGGAUUCCCUAGUUCAUUAGGAUGGGUUUUCAUAGAAUUCGGAGUAUUCCUACAGUAUGGAAACAGGCCCUUCGGCCCAAGAAUUCCACACAAAACCUCAGAGCAUCCCACCCAGACACAUCUCCCCGUAGCCCACCAAAUGUAUGCAUCACUGAACACUCUGGGCAAUUUAGCUUGGCGAAUCCACUAACCAGCACAUGGGAGGAAACCAGAGCACCGAGAGGAAACCCACGCAGCCACAGGGAGAAUAUGCCAACAACCACAUGCUCGGUUGCCCAAGGGUGGAAUCAAAUCCAGGUCUCUGGCACUGUGAGGCAGCAGUGCUAACCGCUGAGCCACUGUGGUUAACCACCAAUGAGUUCCCAAGAAUCUGUAGGAAUUUUUGUUGCUCGUAUUAUCUGUAUCCAAGUCAUGUUAUCUGGGCUUGUUUCUCAUGAUGUUUGAAAACACCACAUGUCUGGUUACCUAGUUGGGAGAAAAAAUGAUAUAAAUUUUAUUAAAACUA